rnacentral:SRP_RNA from 1 species
UUGUGCUAGGCGGGGAGUUAGCGGUGCCCUGUACUCGCAAUCCGCUUCAGCGAGGUCAAAUUCCCGUCCUGAGGUCCGAAGGUGCUGGAAUCGACUUUGUCUCUGCAGUGUUUGAGCGCGAUGGUCUCUAUGCGACGGCGUUCAUCUGAACCGGGUCAGGCCAGGAAUGGAGCAGCCCUAAGGAUGUGAUGUCGGGUGCCGUAGAAUCGCCGUCCGUGAGCUGACGAGCAAAGUAUCACCAGAUUUACCUGACGAUCGAAGGCGGGUGCACAA